rnacentral:misc_RNA from 1 species
AACUUUUUGCAACGGAUCUCUUGGCUCUCGCAUCGAUGAAGAACGCAGCGAAAUGCGAUAAGUAAUGUGAAUUGCAGAAUUCAGUGAAUCAUUGAAUCUUUUAACGCAUCUUGCGCUCCUUGGUAUUCCGAGGAGCAUGUCUGUUUGAGUGUCAUUUGACUUAUCAACCGCUUCAUCUGAACAUGAACGUGGCUUUGGAUGUGGGGGUCUUUGCAGGCCUUGUUUGAUCAAGGUCGGCUCCCCUGAAAUGCAUUAGUGGCAUCUGAGUGGCUACUGUAGGUGUGAUAAAUUAUCUAUGCCUUUGGUAUGCUGCAUGAACGGAUUGCGCUGCUUACAACGAUGAAAAAGAACUUGACAAACUUGACCUCAAAUCAGGUAGGACUACCCGCUGAACUUAAGCAUAUCAAUAAGCGGAGGCU